GCGGCGUUUUGAUGCGGUUAGUUGCUGAAUGGCAAGGCGUUAUAGUUUGUGUUAUUUGUUCUUUAUUUCUUCUUUGAAUUGAAUUGGAUUUCCAAAUAUGUUACGUCUACCAAUAGGCCGCGAAGCGGUCGAAUUCGGUGAGCAUCACUGCGUUCCAGGGUGUGACUGUCAUUGCAUCCACGUUGACGGUACUUGCAUGAAAUAAUCAUUUAGGAGCAAUUAUUUAUCAAACAAUAUUUAUUUGGUUCCCAUUGUUUGGCAUUCAUUUUCCGUCACUUGUAAGAAAAUUUGUGGAAAAGCCAAAUAUGUUGUCCCUAUUGAACACAUUAAUAGUUAAUUUCAUCAAACGCUCCGGAAACUUAAACAUUGUUCGGAACUUGGUCCCAAUUGUAUUCCAUAUUUCUUUGUUAAGGACUGUCUGGCGCCUCUGAAUAAAUCAAAGUUUUGCGUUUUAUUUGCAACUACCGCCCGCCCCAGCUUCGCACGAACAUUAUAUUACACCUAAGUAAGUACAUUUUCACCACACCAACUGGUAAAGGCUUACUUUGCUAUUCGAAAA